GUCCUAGCUGUAAACGAUGAGAACUAGGUGUGGGAGGUAUCGACCCCUUCCGCGCCGACGCUAACGCAUUAAGUUCUCCGCCUGGGGAGUACGGCCGCAAGGUUAAAACUCAAAGGAAUUGACGGGGCCCGCACAAGCGGUGGAGCAUGUGGUUUAAUUCGACGCUACGCGAAGAACCUUACCUGGGCUCGAACGACUGGUGGUAGUUCGGAUGAAAGUCUGGGCGACCCGCAAGGGAGCCAGCCGAGGUGCUGCAUGGUUGUCGU
rnacentral:rRNA from 1 species